rnacentral:lncRNA from 1 species
AUGAAAGGAAAUUUGCCUGGCGACCAGAUAAACUUGGCACUGUUACUAGACCAUGAGAAACGUGAGGGUGUGAAUUUCGUCAGCCUGCUCAUCCUCGGCUUCCUCGUGAAGCACCUCUUCUCAUGCUCCUUCGGUUCCCCACAACCACCAUUCCUACCCAAAGGCCAGACGGGGUGUGGCCAGUCAUUUCAGCUGGUCGGACUUAUGAUGGAGAAGGGAUGUUUUAUGUGUUGGGGUGGGAGAAAGUGCUGGUCCCCUCUUUUGGAUGCUGCUUCUAAAAGGAUGGCUGAGGAGUUCCUGUCAUGGCUCAGCGGAAACAAAUCCAACUAGCAUCCACGAGGAUGCGGGUUUGAUCCCUGGCCUUGCUCUGUAGGUUAAGGAUCUAAGUUGCUGUGAGCUGUGCUGGCGGUCAGCAGCUGUAGCUCUCGUUCAACUGCUAGCCUGGGAACUUCCAUAUGCUGCAGAUGCAGCCCUAAAAAGCCCCCCCCCCCCGCAAAAAAAAGGAUGGCUGCAUGAAAAUAGCCCCUCCAGAUCUGGCCUCAGAGUGAACCUCUACAGAUGUGAGAUAUAGUCUUGCUGGUAAUGAAUGUCUCUCCUGCAACACAGUCUGCUGUCAGGGCUACUGUCUCUUUUCUCCACCUUGUCAAAGACCCUAGUAUAUUUUCUUUGCUUCUGGUCAAGACCCCAGACAAAUUAUCCUAUUAAACAAAUCAUUACCAAAGAUGUGAUAAGAUCCCUAAUAACACGUCAUUACCAAAGAUGUGAUAAGAGCCCUAAUAGUGGUACGUGCCAGACGAAGCGGAGGCAUACAAGUAGGUGUUGUUAAUUCUCACUAGGGGGGAGGACAGGGUUGAUAUCUGAAAAAGAGUUUUCUUUUGAGAAGAACUUGUUUUUUUAACUUAUUAAACAGAACUUUUUUUUUUUUUUUUGUCCUUUUUAGGGCCGCACCUGAGGCAUAUGGAAGUUACCAGGCUAGGGGUCAAAGUGGAGCUGCAGCUGCUCGCCUACACCAUGGCCACAGCAACACGGGUUGUGAGCUUUGUCUGCGACCUACAUCACAGCUCAGGGCAACGCUGGAUCCUUAACCCACUGAGGGAGGCCAGGAAUGGAACCUGCAUCCUCAUGGGUACUAGUUAGGUUGGUUACCACUGUACCACCCCGGGAACUCCCAGAACUUGAUUUUUAAAUUGUAGUAAAAUACACAUAACAUUUACCCUCUUAACCACUUUUAAGUGUCCACUUUGGUGGCAUUAAAUAUAUUCACAUUGUAACCAACCUCCAGAACUUUCUCACCUUGCAAAACUGAGGCUGUAUACACACCAAACAGCUCCCCAACUCUCCAGCUCCCUACCCGCUGGCAACCACCUUUGCUGAGUGGCUGUCUGAGUUUGACUGCUCUAGAUACCUCAUAAAUGUGACAUCAUACAUGUUUGUCUUUUUGCCACUGGUUUAUAUCUCUUAGCAUGAUGUCA